UACGUAGGGGGCAAGCGUUGUCCGGAUUUAUUGGGCGUAAAGAGCUCGUAGGCGGUCUGUCGCGUCGGAUGUGAAACCUCGGGGCUCAACCCCGAGCCUGCAUUCGAUACGGGCAGACUAGAGUUCGGUAGGGGAGUGUGGAAUUCCUGGUGGAGCGGUGAAAUGCGCAGAUAUCAGGAGGAACACCCGUAGCGAAGGCGGCACUCUGGGCCGGAACUGACGCUGAGGAGCGAAAGCGUGGGGAGCGAACAGG
rnacentral:rRNA from 1 species